rnacentral:lncRNA from 1 species
GAACUCCUCGAGCCCGACGGAGUGGAGGAGCUUGUCCACCUCGGCGGCGCGUUGGGUGACGUCGAGGUCUCCGCGGUGCAGCGCCAUGGCGUACUCGAGGUGUUCCCUGGCGGUGAGGGAUGCCCAGAGGGUGUCGAACUGCUCGACGUAGGCGCAGACUCGGUCGUACAUGGCGGUGGUGAGGGGUUCGCCGUUGACGCGGAUGUAGCCGGAGGGCGAGCCGCCGGCUUGUUGCAGCGUCAGCGCAUUCAAGAGCGUGGUCUUGCCCGCGCCGGACGGGCCGAGGAUGGCCAGCACGUGACCGGAGGUGACGUCACCGUUGAUGUUCUGCAGGAGCGCCUUGGGCAGGCCGCUCCCCUUGACGUUGACGGUGUACUGCAGGCGCUCGAACGAGAGCCGCACCUUC